rnacentral:rRNA from 1 species
GAUGAACGCUGGCGGCGUGCCUAAUACAUGCAAGUCGAGCGAACAGAUGAGGAGCUUGCUCCUCUGACGUUAGCGGCGGACGGGUGAGUAACACGUGGAUAACCUACCUCUAAGACUGGGAUAACUUCGGGAAACCGGAGCUAAUAACGGAUAAUAUAUUGAACCGCAUGGUUCAAUAGUGAAAGACGGUUUUGCUGUCACUUAUAGCUGGAUCCGCGCCGCAUUAGCUAGUUGGUAAGGUAACGGCUUACCAAGGCAACGAUGCGUAGCCGACCUGAGAGGGUGAUCGGCCACACUGGAACUGAGACACGGUCCAGACUCCUACGGGAGGCAGCAGUAGGGAAUCUUCCGCAAUGGGCGAAAGCCUGACGGAGCAACGCCGCGUGAGUGAUGAAGGUCUUCGGAUCGUAAAACUCUGUUAUUAGGGAAGAACAAAUGUGUAAGUAACUAUGCACGUCUUGACGGUACCUAAUCAGUAAGCCACGGCUAACUUCGUG